rnacentral:rRNA from 1 species
GAUGAACGCUGGCGGCGUGCCUAAUACAUGCAAGUCGAGCGAACAGACGAGGAGCUUGCUCCUUUGACGUUAGCGGCGGACGGGUGAGUAACACGUAGGUAACCUACCUAUAAGACUGGGAUAACUUCGGGAAACCGGAGCUAAUACCGGAUAAUAUUUCGAACCGCAUGGUUCGAUAGUGAAAGAUGGCUAUGCUAUCACUUAUAGAUGGACCUGCGCCGUAUUAGCUAGUUGGUAAGGUAACGGCUUACCAAGGCAACGAUACGUAGCCGACCUGAGAGGGUGAUCGGCCACACUGGAACUGAGACACGGUCCAGACUCCUACGGGAGGCAGCAGUAGGGAAUCUUCCGCAAUGGGCGAAAGCCUGACGGAGCAACGCCGCGUGAGUGAUGAAGGUCUUCGGAUCGUAAAACUCUGUUAUUAGGGAAGAACAAACGUGUAAGUAACUGUGCACGUCUUGACGGUACCUAAUCAGAAAGCCACGGCUAACUACGUG